rnacentral:rRNA from 1 species
CUUUUGAUACGCAGCCGGCGCGACGGGUGUAGUCAAUGUGUGGAGAUCUGCCCGAUAGAGGGGAUAUAACUACUGAAAAGGUGGUUAAUACCGAAUAAUGUCUACGCCCCAAGGCAGGAGCUCUUCGGACCUUGCACUAUGGGAUGAACCCAUAUGCCAUUAGCUAGUAAGUGAGGUAAAGGCUCACCUAGUCGACGAUCUCUAGCUGGUCUGACAGGCUGAUCAGCCACUCUGGCACUGAGACACGGCCCAAACUCCUACGGUAGGAAGCAGGGGGGAAUAUUGCACAAUGCCCGCAAGCCUGAUGCAGCCAUGCCGCGUGUAUGAAGAAGGCCUUAGGGUUGUAAAGUACUUUCAGUGUGGAGGAAGGGGAUAAGGUUAAUACCCUUGUCAAUUGACGUUCCCCGCAGAACAAACACCGACUAACUCCGUGCCAUAAGCCGCGGUAAUACGGAGGGUGCAAGCGUUAAUCGGAAUUACUGGACGUAAAGCGCACGAAGGCGGCCAAUUAAGUCAGAUGUGAAAGACCCGAACUUAAAUUGGUAAUUGCAUCUGAAACUGUGUGACUAGAGUCUUGUAAAGGGGGAUAAAAUUCCAUGUGUACCGUGGAAAUGCGUAAAAAAGGUGAAAGAAUACCGGUGGCAAAGGCGGCCCCCUGGACUAACACUGAUGCUCAGGUGCGAGAGGGUGGAGAGCAUACAGAAUUAGAUACCCCUGGUA